rnacentral:rRNA from 1 species
GUGUCAGCCGCCGCGGUAAGACGAACCGUGCGAACGUUAUUCGGAAUCACUGGGCUUAAAGCGCGUGUAGGCGGGAGGGCACGUCCGUCGUUGAAAGCCCCCGGCUCAACCGGGGAACGGGCGCGGAUACGACCUUCCUGGAGGGGCGUAGGGGGACCUGGAACUUCCGGUGGAGCGGUGAAAUGCGUUGAGAUCGGAAGGAACGCCCGUGGCGAAAGCGAGGUCCUGGACGCCUACUGACGCUGAGACGCGAAAGCCAGGGGAGCGAACGGGAUUAGAUACCCCGGUAGUCCUGGCCGUAAACGAUGGGCACUGGGUAGGGGGCUCGCCGAUGGGCUCCCUGCCGCAGCGAAAGCGUGAAGUGCCCCGCCUGGGGAGUAUGGUCGCAAGGCUGAA